UUUCCUAAUGCUCUCUUCCUCUCUGCGGUUUCCAGAAGUUCUCAUCACCAUUUGUCAUUUCAGAUCUCAUCACCAUUUGCCAUUUCAGAAACCACACUACAUUCUCUACUCCAGCUCAAACAUCAACAGAGACAACUGUAGCAACGUAUGGAGACACCAGCUCAAACAUCAACAGAGACAACUGUAGCAACAUAUGGAGACAUCGGAGCAGGUUCAAACCCACUGUGAAAUUGCGAUUUUAUACGGCGAUUUCGUAGUUCUUUCCUUCAAUUUCGAGAUUGAUUUGUCUGUUAAAGGGCGAGGAACAUACCAAAUUAUAUAGCAUGCCCAGAGAGUGUAUUUUGUAUAUAUACACUUGUCAAAAGGAUGAGCUCCUAGCCAUUAAGUGUGCUAUUAAAGGAUCUCAAGACUAUCUACGUUGAAUUAGCCUGCAUAUAUUUCAAUUCCCAUGUUGUGACAGUAUUAAUACCCCUAUUGCUUUUCUCCAAAUCUAAAUAUAGUGUUUCAACUACAUUUUAGAUCUUAUUAAUAAUGCUCUCCAACUCUAAAUAUGGAGUUUUCACUUCACAUUAGGUAUGUGUGAUUUAACAUUUAAAGAU